rnacentral:sRNA from 1 species
UAUCUCUCCGUACGGGGAAGGAUGAGAAGCUUCGACUAAGGUUCGAUUCGAGCGCAGCGAGAAAGCGUUGCCGCAGGCAACGACCCGAAGGGCGAAGCGCGCAGCGCUGAGUCAUCCUUCCCCC